rnacentral:rRNA from 1 species
CUGGCGGCGUGCCUAACACAUGCAAGUCGAACGAAGCAUACGGACCGGAGAUUCGUCGAAGGACUGUAUGACUUAGUGGCGGACGGGUGAGUAAUGUAUGAGCAACCUGCCUUUCAGAGGGGGACAACAGUUGGAAACGACUGCUAAUACCGCGUAAUGUAUCGUGAGGGCAUCCUCGUGAUACCAAAGGAGCAAUCCGCUGAAAGAUGGGCUCAUAUCUGAUUAGCUUGUUGGCGGGGUAACGGCCCACCAAGGCGACGAUCAGUAGCCGGACUGAGAGGUUGAACGGCCACAUUGGGACUGAGAUACGGCCCAGACUCCUACGGGAGGCAGCAGUGGGGAAUAUUGGGCAAUGGGCGAAAGCCUGAACCCCAGCAACGCCGCGUGAAGGAAGAAGGUCUUCGGAUUGUAAACUUCUUUUAUGAGGGACGAAGGACGUGACGGUACCUCAUGAAUAAGCCACGGCUAACUACGUGCCAGCAGCCGC